GACAGAGGGGGCGAGCGUUGUCCGGAAUCACUGGGCGUAAAGCGCACGCAGGCGGAUCGAUAAGUCGGGGGUGAAAGCCCGGGGCUCAACCUCGGAAUUGCCUUCGAUACUGUCGGUCUCGAGUCCGGGAGAGGUGAGUGGAAUUCCUAGUGCAGAGGUGAAAUUCGUAGAUAUUAGGAAGAACACCAGUGGCGAAGGCGGCUCACUGGCCCGGUACUGACGCUCAGGUGCGAAAGCGUGGGGAGCAAACAGG
rnacentral:rRNA from 1 species